UAGCGGGAGGCUUAAUACAUGCAAGUCGAACGGUAACAUUGGAGCUUGCUCCAGAUGACGAGUGGCGCACGGGUGAGUAACGCGUACACGACCUACCUUAAAGAGGGGGAUAGCCUCGGGAAACUGAGAAUAACACCCCAUGUGGUUAAUUUAACUAAAAAGAUUAAUUAAAGGCUUCGGCCGCUUUAAGAUGGGUGUGCGUACUAUUAGAUAGUUGGUGAGGUAACGGCUCACCAAGUCUACGAUAGUUAGGGGGCGUGAGAGCGUGAUCCCCCACACGGGUACUGAGACACGGACCCGACUCCUACGGGAGGCAGCAGUAAGGAAUAUUGGACAAUGGAGGAAACUCUGAUCCAGCCAUCCCGCGUGAAGGAUGAAUGCCCUCUGGGUAGUAAACUUCUUUUAUAUACCAAGAAUAGCAGUCAUUUAUGAUUGUGUGACGGUAGUAUAUGAAUAAGCACCGGCUAACUCCGUGCCAGCAGCCGCGGUAAUACGGAGGGUGCAAGCGUUAUCCGGAAUUACUGGGUUUAAAGGGUGCGUAGGCGGUUUAAUAAGUCAGAAGUGAAAAGUCCGAGCUCAACUGGGGCCUUGCUUUUGAUACUGUUAGACUUGAAUCAGGCUGAGGUUAGCGGAAUGUGACAUGUAGCGGUGAAAUGCAU
rnacentral:rRNA from 1 species